rnacentral:rRNA from 1 species
GACGAACGCUGGCGGCGUGCCUAAUACAUGCAAGUUGAGCGAUGAAGAUUGGUGCUUGCCCCAAUUUGAAGAGCAGCGAACGGGUGAGUAACGCGUGGGGAAUCUGCCUUUGAGCGGGGGACAACAUUUGGAAACGAAUGCUAAUACCGCAUAACAACUUUAAACAUAAGUUUUAAGUUUGAAAGAUGCAAUUGCAUCACUCAAAGAUGAUCCCGCGUUGUAUUAGCUAGUUGGUGAGGUAAAGGCUCACCAAGGCGAUGAUACAUAGCCGACCUGAGAGGGUGAUCGGCCACAUUGGGACUGAGACACGGCCCAAACGCCUACGGGAGGCAGCAGUAGGGAAUCUUCGGCAAGGGACGAAAGUCUGACCGAGCAACGCCGCGGGAGUGAAGAAGGUUGUCGGAUCGUAAAACUCUGUUGGUAGAGAAGAACGUUGGUGAGAGUGGAAAGCUCAUCAAGUGACGGUAACUACCCAGAAAGGGACGGCUAACUACGUG